rnacentral:rRNA from 1 species
UACGUAGGGUGCGAGCGUUAAUCGGAAUUACUGGGCGUAAAGCGUGCGCAGGCGGUUUGUUAAGACAGAUGUGAAAUCCCCGGGCUUAACCUGGGAACUGCGUUUGUUACUGGCAAGCUAGAGUGUGUCAGAGGGAGGUAGAAUUCCACGUGUAGCAGUGAAAUGCGUAGAGAUGUGGAGGAAUACCGAUGGCGAAGGCAGCCUCCUGGGAUAACACUGACGCUCAUGCACGAAAGCGUGGGGAGCAAACAGG